GUCUACAGCCAAACCACCCUGAACGCACCUGAUCUCGUCUGAUCUCGGAAGCUAAGCAGGGUGGGGCCUGGUUAGUACUUGGAUGGGAGACACUUAGGACACCACUGAGAGCUAGAACUGUAGCUC
ensembl:rRNA 5S_rRNA 5S ribosomal RNA